UCCGAUAUCUAUUGUUACUACCAUAUAUAUUUCCAGAUCACAUAGAUACUUUUCAGCAAUAGCUAACAAUUAGAAAUUCCACACUCAUACGUGAUAUUAUAAGCUUCCUUGGGAUGCCGUUUGUUGUCGGAUGGUAUAACAUGCAAAGCACGGCUAGCAAAGGAAGUAAGAGAUGCACAUUAGAUAUGUAGAGUACAUAUUUAUAAUAAGAAGUAUGUAAGAUGGCUCAAGAUAAAACCUGAGAAAGGUAAGCUAAGGUAACCCAGACUCCCAGCUCUAGUCCUAAGUAGCAUACACGGCAAUCCCCAAAGGCACGCACUGUGAAUUUUUUACAGGCUGCAACAAUGAACCACACCAUGCCAAAGCUUUGUUCUCUUUCAAAAUCGGAAUAUCACUUACUGGCAUAAUAAUAAAAAUGGAUCAAAAGUGAAUGACAUAAGGCUCAGUUGCACUGCUACUUUUUUUAAUACCUAUUGACAAUGGCAGAAUCAUGUAGAGUAGAGUUUGAGACCGAGCAGUUGAACGCAUAGUACGAACUGUAGCGUCCGGGAGAGAAAUUAAGAACAAAGAAAGUAUUUGCACAC
rnacentral:lncRNA from 1 species